rnacentral:rRNA from 1 species
GGAUUAGAUACCCUGGUAGUCCACGCCCUAAACGAUGAGAACUAGAUGUUGGUCUCACUUAAGAGAUUAGUGUCGAAGCUAACGCGUUAAGUUCUCCGCCUGGGGAGUACGGCCGCAAGGUUGAAACUCAAAGGAAUUGACGGGGGCCCGCACAAGCGGUGGAGCAUGUGGUUUAAUUCGAUGCAACGCGAAGAACCUUACCAGCCCUUGACAUCCUCGGAACUUUCUAGAGAUAGAUUGGUGCCUUCGGGAACCGAGUGACAGGUGCUGCAUGGCUGUCGUCAGCUCGUGCCG